CCUACGGGUGGCAGCAGUGGGGAAUAUUGGGCAAUGGGCGCAAGCCUGACCCAGCAACGCCGCGUGAAGGAAGAAGGCUUUCGGGUUGUAAACUUCUUUUAAGGGGGAAGCGGAGAAGACGGUACCCCUUGAAUAAGCCACGGCUAACUACGUGCCAGCAGCCGCGGUAAUACGUAGGUGGCAAGCGUUGUCCGGAUUUACUGGGUGUAAAGGGCGUGCAGCCGGGAGGACAAGGCAGAUGUGAACUCCAGCGGCCCAACCGCGGAACUGCCUUUGAAACUGUUUUUCUUGAGUACCGGAGAGGUCAUCGGAAUGCCUUGUGUAGCGGUGAAAUGCGUAGAUAUAAGGCAGAACACCAGUGGCGAAGGCGGAUGACUGGACGGCAACUGACGGUGAGGCGCGAAAGCGUGGGGAGCAAACAGGAUUAGAUACCCCUGUAGUC
rnacentral:rRNA from 1 species